AGUGGCAAACGGGUGAGUAACGCGUGGAUAAUCUGCCUCGAAUUCGGGAACAGCUCGUCGAAAGACGGGGUAAUACUCGAUAGUCCGAAAACAUCGCAAGGUGUUUUCGGUAAAACUCCGGUGAUUCGAGAAGAGUCCGCGUCCUAUCAGCUUGUUGGUGAGGUAAUAGCUCACCAAGGCGAAGACGGGUAGCUGGCGUGAGAGCGCGGUCAGCCACAAUGGGACUGAGAUACGGCCCAUACUCCUACGGGAGGCAGCAAUUAGGAAUCUUGCGCAAUGGGGGCAACCCUGACGCAGCGACACCGCGUGGAGGACGAAGGUCUAAGGAUCGUAAACUCCUUUUAUAUGGGAAUAAUAACUGAAGGUACCAUAUGAAUAAGUACCUGCUAACUACGUGCCAGAAGCAUCGGUGAUGCGUAGGGUACAAACAUUAUCCGGAUUUAUUGGGCGUAUAGAGAUGCGUAGGCGUCUUAGUAAGUCUUUUGUUAAAGACCUCAGCCUAACUGAGGAAGGGCAUCGGAAACUGCUAGGAUUGAGGUAGGGAGGGGUGAAUGGAAUUCUCGGUGGAGUGGUGAAAUACGUUGAUAUCGAGAAGAACACCAGUGGCGUAGGCGAUUCACUGGCCCUAUUCUGACGCUAAGGCUCGAAAGCGUGGGGAGCAAAACGGAUUAGAUACCCGUGUAGUCCACGCUGUAAACUA
rnacentral:rRNA from 1 species